rnacentral:rRNA from 1 species
UACAGGGGGUGCAAACGUUGCUCGGAAUCAUUGGGCGUAAAGCGCACGUAGGCGGUUCGUUAUGUCGGAUGUGAAAGCCCUUGGCUUAACCGAGGAAGUGCAUCCGAAACUGGCGAGCUAGAGUACGAAAGGGGAUCGCGGAAUUCCCGGUGUAGAGGUGAAAUGCGUAGAGAUCGGAAAGAACACCAACGGCGAAAGCACUCUGCUGGGCCGACACUGACACUGAGAGACGAAAGCUAGGGGAGCGAAUGGG